rnacentral:rRNA from 1 species
GAUCAACGCUGGCGGCGUGCCUAAUACAUGCAAGUCGAGCGAACAGACGAGGAGCUUGCUCCUCUGACGUUAGCGGCGGACGGGUGAGUAACACGUGGAUAACCUACCUAUAAGACUGGGAUAACUUCGGGAAACCGGAGCUAAUACCGGAUAAUAUAUUGAACCGCAUGGUUCAAUAGUGAAAGACGGUUUUGCUGUCACUUAUAGAUGGAUCCGCGCCGCAUUAGCUAGUUGGUAAGGUAACGGCUUACCAAGGCGACGAUGCGUAGCCGACCUGAGAGGGUGAUCGGCCACACUGGAACUGAGACACGGUCCAGACUCCUACGGGAGGCAGCAGCAGGGAAUCUUCCGCAAUGGGCGAAAGCCUGACGGAGCAACGCCGCGUGAGUGAUGAAGGUCUUCGGAUCGUAAAACUCUGUUAUUAGGGAAGAACAAAUGUGUAAGUAACUAUGCACGUCUUGACGGUACCUAAUCAGAAAGCCACGGCUAACUACGUG